AGGGGCGGGGAGAUCCCAGCUACUAGAGGACGCCCGUUCCAAUGGCAACUCUGCCAAGGCGCCUAUGAGAGCCUCUUGGCUUUUACCUGGUCUGCGAGAAAUCAAACUUUGGGCACAAGUCAUGAAGCCGACAAGCCCGGGAGACACAGUGUCAGAAUUACAAGUUCGUUUUCAUAGAAUUCUUCAUACCUGUUUCUAUGAGGAAUGAACUGGAUGUGUUUGAAGACAAGCUGAAGAGCUACGUUACCUCUGUGAACAAAGUGGGGAUGCUGGCUCCAUUAACCCUGCAGGUGAAAAAGCUGAUCAACCCCAGGUCAUAUUUUGUAAACAUGUUUAAGGCUAAAUUAAAAUUUGAACAUGCUCUAAGAA
rnacentral:lncRNA from 1 species